UCUCCGCCCUCAUUCUCUUUCGAUGCAUUCGAGAAAUCCAUUUCUAUAGAAAAACACACAAACCUACGCUUUUCUUUUCACCAUUAUUAAAAUCAUUCGAUUUUUCUUGAUUUGUUCGCAAAAAUGUCUCAUCUUCUUCAAUCCACCUUCAUCCCCACCACACCCACUACCCUCCGUCGCCGUUCUGUGUUUCCGACGACCCAUUUACGGAAAACCCAUGUUGUGGAAUCGAAGAUCCGUGAGAUUUUCAUGCCAGCACUUAGUUCUACUAUGACUGAAGGAAAGAUUAUCAGUUGGAUGAAAACUGAAGGUGAUAAACUAGCUAAAGGUGAAUCAGUUGUUGUUGUUGAAUCGGAUAAAGCUGAUAUGGAUGUUGAAUCUUUUUAUGAUGGGUAUCUUGCUAGUAUCAUUGUACCUGAAGGUAGUUCUGCACCUGUUGGUUCUCCAAUUGCUCUUCUUGCUGAAUCUGAAGAUGAAAUUUCACUUGCUAAAUCGAAAACUCCGACAUCCACUUCUACUUCUAGUCCAGCUGCUACUGCUAGUGUAACUGAAGAGGUUUCAACGGUAGCAGCUGCGGUUGCGGUCCCGGUUACGGCUACGUCAUCUUCUGAUGCUGCGCCUGUGAAAAUGGCGUCGUCGAUUCACCCAGCAUCAGAAGGGGGGAAGAGAGUGGUGGCUUCACCGUAUGCUAAGAAAUUGGCUAAGGAAUUGGGGUUGGAUUUGAGGGGAGUGGUGGGGAGUGGGCCUAAUGGGAGGAUUGUGGCAAAGGAUGUUGAAGCAGCAGCUGGUUCUGCUCCUAUUGGUGUUGCUGCAGCGGCGAAGCCAAGUGGUGGUGCACCAGCGGCCCCAGCAGUAGAAGUGGGGACGACUGUGCCAUUUACGACAAUGCAGAGUGCGGUGAGUCGAAAUAUGGUGGAGAGUUUG
rnacentral:misc_RNA from 1 species